rnacentral:rRNA from 1 species
CACUCCUGCGGGAGGCAGCAGUGGGGAAUAUUGGACAAUGGGCGCAAGCCUGAUCCAGCCAUGCCGCGUGAGUGAUGAAGGCCCUAGGGUUGUAAAGCUCUUUCACCGGUGAAGAUAAUGACAGUAACCGGAGAAGAAGCCCCGGCUAACUUCGUGCCAGCAGCCGCGGUAAUACGAAGGGGGCUAGCGUUGUUCGGAUUUACUGGGCGUAAAGCGCACGUAGGCGGACUAUUAAGUCAGGGGUGAAAUCCCGGGGCUCAACCCCGGAACUGCCUUCGAUACUGGUAGUCUUGAGUUCGAGAGAGGUGAGUGGAAUUCCGAGUGUAGAGGUGAAAUUCGUAGAUAUUCGGAGGAACACCAGUGGCGAAGGCGGCUCACUGGCUCGAUACUGACGCUGAGGUGCGAAAGCGUGGGGAGCAAACAGGAUUAGAUACCCUAGUAGCCC